GAUCCUGGCUCAGAUUGAACGCUGGCGGCGUGCUUAACACAUGCAAGUCGCGCGUGAAAGGACUUCGGUCCGAGUAAAGCGGCGCACGGGUGAGUAACGCGUGGAUGAUCUACCCAUGAGUUAGGAAUAACGGCUGGAAACGGUCGCUAAUACCAAAUACGCUCCGAUUUCAUCUUCGGGGGAAAGGUGGCCUCUGCUUGCAAGCUACUGCUCAUGGAUGAGUCCGCGUCCCAUUAGCUAGUUGGUGGGGUAACGGCCCACCAAGGCGACGAUGGGUAGCCGGUCUGAGAGGAUGACCGGCCACACUGGGACUGGAACACGGCCCAGACUCCUACGGGAGGCAGCAGUGGGGAAUAUUGCGCAAUGGGCGAAAGCCUGACGCAGCGACGCCGCGUGAAGGGAUGAAGGUCCUCGGAUCGUAAACCUCUGUCAGGAGGGAAGAACCGCCACGGUGCUAAUCAGCCGUGGUCUGACGGUACCUCCAAAGGAAGCACCGGCUAACUCCGUGCCAGCAGCGGC
rnacentral:rRNA from 1 species